GGACUCUACUCGUUAAUGGAUAACUGUAAUAACUCUAUGAGCUAAUACAUGCCACGAAGCCCUGACCCCGGGCUCCCUCGGGGAAUGGGUGCACUUAUUACAACAGAAGCCAACCAAUCUCCGCGUGCAUUCCCUCCUUCGGGAGGUGUGUGCGCGGGCUGCAGCACUUCUGGUGACUCUGGAUAAUUGUUACAGAUCGCAGUCGGCUUUACGUCGGCGACGGGUCCUUCAAAUGUCUGCCCUAUCAACUUUCGAUGGUAGGUGACCUGCCUACCAUGGUGAUAACGGGUAACGGGGAAUCAGGGUUCGAUUCCGGAGAGGGAGCCUGAGAAACGGCUACCACUUCCAAGGGAGGCAGCAGGCGCGCAAAUUACCCACUCCCGGUACGGGGAGGUGGUGACGAAAAAUACCGAUGCGGGACUCAUUUACGAGGCUCCGUAAUCGGAAUGAGUGGACUCUAAAUCCUUUCACGAGGAUCAAUUGGAGGGCAAGUCUGGUGCCAGCAGCCGCGGUAACUCCAGCUCCAAUAGCGUAUAUUAAAGUUGCUGCAGUUAAAAAGCUCGUAGUUGGAUCUCGGUAGCAUUGUUGCCUGCUCAGUUGUCAUGCUCUGCGGCGUGCAUCACAUCGUGUGGGUCGGCUGUGCAUUGUCCACGCUCCUAUGGGGGCUGGGCGUGUGCGCUUGGCUUCAUCACGGUGGGUGUACACAAAAACCGCAGUGUAUUGAGCUGGCGUGGCGAUGGUGCCACCUUUGAGCCAUGUCUGUGGUGUAACAGCCACAGGUGUAUGCGAGUGUCGGGCAGUGCUCUGCACCUUCUGUGGGGCCUAGCCGGCUCGCCUGCAUGCCAGUGGAUGCCCUUUAAAAGGUGUUCAUGGGCGGAUGGCACGUUUACUUUGAACAAAUUUGAGUGCUCAAAUCAGGCCGAUGUCGCCUGAAAAGUUUUGCAUGGAAUAAUGGAAUAGGACUUCGGUUCUAUUUCGUUGGUUUUCGGAUCCGAAGUAAU
rnacentral:rRNA from 1 species